rnacentral:rRNA from 1 species
AUUGAACGCUGGCGGCAGGCCUAACACAUGCAAGUCGAGCGAUAACGGUCUUCGGACUUAUUAAAGCGGCGGACGGGUGAGUAACGCGUGGGAAUCUACCUAGUAGUGGGGGACAACAGUUGGAAACGACUGCUAAUACCGCAUACGCCCUACGGGGGAAAGCGGAGGAUCUUCGGACUUCGUGCUAUUAGAUGAGCCCGCGUGAGAUUAGUUUGUUGGUGGGGUAAUGGCCUACCAAGACUACGAUCUCUAGCUGGUCUGAGAGGAUGAUCAGCCACACUGGAACUGAGACACGGUCCAGACUCCUACGGGAGGCAGCAGUGGGGAAUAUUGCACAAUGGGCGAAAGCCUGAUGCAGCCAUGCCGCGUGUGUGAAGAA